CCUACGGGUGGCAGCAGUGGGGGAUAUUGCACAAUGGGGGAAACCCUGAUGCAGCGACGCCGCGUGUGGGAAGACGGUCCUCUGGAUUUUAAACCACUGUCCCCAGGGACGAAGAUGACGGUACCUGGGGAGGAAGCUCCGGCUAACUACGUGCCAGCAGCCGCGGUAAUACGUAGGGAGCGAGUGUUGUCCGGAAUUACUGGGUGUAAAGGGAGCGUAGGCGGGGAUGGAAGUUGGGUGUCAAACCUACGGGCACAACGGGUAGUCGCACUUAAAACUGCAGCUCUUGAGUGAAGUAGGGGCAGGCGGAAUGCCUAGUGUAGCGGUGAAAUGCGUAGAUAUUAGGCGGAACACCAGUGGCGAAGGCGGCCUGCUGGGCUUUUACUGACGCUGAGGCUCGAAAGUGUGGGGAGCAAACAGGAUUAGAUACCCCUGUAGUC
rnacentral:rRNA from 1 species